rnacentral:rRNA from 1 species
GACGAACGCUGGCGGCGCGCCUAACACAUGCAAGUCGAACGGAGUCAAGAGGAGCUUGCUGUGCUUGACUUAGUGGCGAACGGGUGAGUAACGCGUGAGUAACCUGCCCUGGAGUGGGGGACAACAGGUGGAAACGACUGCUAAUACCGCAUAAGCCCACGGAGCCGCAUGGGGCUGCGGGAAAAGGAUUUAUUCGCUUCAGGAUGGACUCGCGUCCAAUUAGCGAGGUGGUGAGGUAACGGCCCACCAAGGCGACGAUUGGUAGCCGGACGGAGGGGUUGACCCGCCACGUUGGGACUGCGACACGGCCCCGACUCCUACGGAAGGCAGCAGUGGGUGAUAUUGCACACUGGGGCCAAACCUGAUGCCGCCGCGCCGCGUGGAGGAAGCAGCUUUUCGGAUUGUACACUCCUCUCGUUAGGGACGAUAAUGACGGUACCUAACAAGAAAGCACCGGCUAACUACGUG